rnacentral:lncRNA from 1 species
CUUCACUGAAACUCACACACAGAAGAGCGUUUGUACGAUUGGUUUGGAACAAUCUGUCUGUCUGAGUGCAGCAUGAAGAAUAAUUGAUCGAGAUCUGUUUUUGACAGGUGAUCAUUCCAGUCUGAGGAAUCAUCCGUUCAUUCUGUUCAGGGAAUCCCAAUGUGUCAGCGGGAAUGAGGGGUCACGACCUUCAUGCAGAGGCUGACGUCAUGCUUCAUUUAGAGGGCGAG